UUACUGGCUCAGGAUGAACGCUGGCGGCGUGCUUAACACAUGCAAGUCGAGCGAAGCGGUUUAAAUGAAGUUUCGGAUGGAAUUAAACUGACUGAGCGGCGGACGGGUGAGUAACGCGUGGGUAACCUGCCUCAUACAGGGGGAUAACAGUUGGAAACGACUGCUAAUACCGCAUAAGCACACAGUGCCGCAUGGUACGGUGUGAAAAGCUCCGGUGGUAUGAGAUGGACCCGCGUCUGAUUAGGUAGUUGGUGAGGUAACGGCCCACCAAGCCGACGAUCAGUAGCCGACCUGAGAGGGUGACCGGCCACAUUGGGACUGAGACACGGCCCAAACUCCUACGGGAGGCAGCAGUGGGGAAUAUUGGACAAUGGGGGAAACCCUGAUCCAGCCGACGCCGCGUGAGUGAAGAAGUGUUUCGGCAUGUAAAGCUCUAUCAGCAGGGAAGAAAAUGACGGUACCUGACUAAGAAGCCCCGGCUAACUACGUGCCAGCCGCUGC
rnacentral:rRNA from 1 species